rnacentral:snRNA from 1 species
GUGUUCUCUUCGGCAGCACAAAUACUAAAAUUGGAAAGAUACAGCAUGGCCCCUGUGCAAGGAUGACGCAAAUUCGUGAAGCAUUCCAUAUUUUG